GUGGUUUGGCUGUGCCACCACCCAAAUCUCAUUUUGAACUGUAGCUCCCACAGUUCCGUGUUGUGGGAGGGACCCAGUGGGAGGUAAUUGAAUCAUGGGGGCAGGUCUUUCCCAUGCUAUUCUCAUGAUGGUGACUACGUCUUAUGAGAUAUGAUGGUUUUAUAAAGGGGAGUUUCCCUGCACAAGCUCUCUUUUCUUGUGUACCGCCAUGUGAGACAGGUCUUUCACCUCCUGCCAUGUUUGUGAGGCCUCCCCAGCCAAGUAGAACUGUGAGUCCAUUAAACCUGUUUCUUUUGUACAUUGCCCAGUCUCGGGUAUGUCUUUACCAGCAGCAUGAAGAAGGACUAAUACAACUAAAGUGAUAAGAAACUGCCCUUCAGGUUUCUCUUCCCUUUUUUCUACAUCUCUUGACUUCACUUAAGAUCCGCUUUAGAAAGCCUCCCCAUCUCUCUGGCACAGAAUCACAAAAUUGGCCCUAUCUGCUAAAUAUAUCUGGGCCUUGAGACUCUGGGUUACUCAUCCUCUCUCUGUAAAAUCUCCCCUAUUUAAGUUUAAGCAUCUUCAUUGUCAAGAACAUUUUUUCCAACCUCACUCACUCAAGUUAUGAUAUAAAUUGCUUUCAAUUUAACUAACGUAGAAGUUGGUUACUGGUCUGCAAGUAUCCCCUCUGUACUUUAUGGAUGGUCCUAUACAGCCUUUUUCAUCUCUUCCUCUAAGUGUGUGACAAUGUCUGCUUGAAUACAGGGAGUGUUUGCUAAGAAACACAUUGUUGUGCUAGAUCUAAGACAAAAACCAACACCAUCAAUGAAAAUAGUUACAUGGUAUCAUUAUUUUCACCUGUGAUUAGCUAUGGGGUUUUUGUUAAAAUCCAACAGACUGUAUCUGAAAAACAAUGUGAUCUGAGGUGAAUCAACGUUCUUAGAAAAAUUCCAGUAACUCCUACUAAAAAUUGCACACUACCAUUAAAUAAAUUCACAUGUUGCUAACAAAAACACACAGUUUAGAUAAUUGAAUUCAGUUACUCUACAAUGGAAACAGUACUAUUUUGGAAAAGACAGAAUUUUAACUGUCAUUACUAGGCAUGCUCCCAUUCUCCCAUUUUAUUUCUUUGUAUGAAAACAUUUAUUUUGAAAUUGUCUAUAGGCACAAUUUGUCUGAAAUGAUAGAUAAUGAGAAAUGCAUAAGAUAUGUAAUUAGCAGAUACUUGCACAAAAAAAGAAUAACCUAAAACUGGAAUUUCUUCAUUAUUUUUCUGUGCCUAGAAAAUCAAAGAUCAUAUUCAUCUUUUCUUCAAACUCUCUUACAUGGUGUUUUGUUACUUUUAUAUUUUCUUAUAAUGAAUGAGUUAUCUUAAAUGACCAUCUUAUCUUGCUCAGUCCUUUGUCCACAUAUUUCCAUCUACAGCAUUAGAGCACUAGAAUUUGGCCCAAUGAUGGGCCAAAGUAUGUUGAUUAAAUUACUAACUCCUAUGAGUUCCCACCAACUUGAACAUUUUCAUUUUUGUUCAUAAGGACAUGAAAGGAUUGCUGUGAACAUUGUCUGCUUUCCUAACAGAAUUACAUUUUGACCUCUGAUAAUUGAACCUAAACUUUAGGGUGGGACUUUUCUCUGGAAUAUGUUAAUUAGGACCCCAAGGAACUUAGCAUAUUUUGCUUAUCUAACAUAUCCAAUAUGUCAUUCUCUUUCUCCUGGAACAGAUUCUCUUAUAGAAACCAUAACUUUUUUUUUUGUCUCAACAAAGAUGCAUUAAGCCUAGGCAUGCCAGUUCCUAAAAGUAUAGUAAAUGUCAUUGUGCAAACUUAGUUACUUCAAAAGGGCAGAAUCAUCAGAAGGCUCAUAGCUGUUGGCUUUGUUUGUCACCUGAGAAUGGAAUUGAACAACUGCACCAAAGAAUUUCUGUACUUGGUUCUAAGUGCUUUUCAUGAAGACAUAAAUGUGUUCCAUCAUUUUAUUUACUGUUUCUAUAUGUCUUCAUCAGGAUUCCUCCAUUUGUCACCGUACAUUCUGGGAAGGAUAGCUCAUUCUUGGAUUAUCAGUAACCACACAUGGCAAAUCCCAGUGAUUAGGACCAUGGACAUCUUUGGAGGACCAUUCAUCAGACUACCACAUUUUGGGCAAGCUCUGGGUUAGUCAUGCUGUAACAGAAGCAAGUGAAGAGGCUAAAGCCGCCCUGGAGACUGCCCAGAAAAGGAAGUAGAGAAGAGAACCUGCUCCAAGGUGAGUAUAAGUAAAAGCAGAUAGGCAGGCAGAGGGUCAGUGUUUAAAAGGCAUAUCAAGCUCAGGAGUGGUCCCAGAAAAUGAAAGUAAAACUUGUUCCCUGUUCCUGUCAAGCCCACCACCCUGGUAAAUUAACUUUUAAUUUAUUUAGUAGGAUGGAGAAAUGGAA
rnacentral:lncRNA from 10 species